rnacentral:rRNA from 1 species
AACGAACGCUGGCGGCAGGCCUAACACAUGCAAGUCGAGCGCCCCGCAAGGGGAGCGGCGGACGGGUGAGUAACACGUGGGAAUUUUCCUCAAGGUACGGAACAACUCAGGGAAACUUGGGCUAAUACCGUAUGAUGCAAAGAUGCCAAAGAUUUAGCGCCUUGGGAUAAGCCCGUGUCAGAUUAGGUAGUUGGUGGGGUAACCGCCUACCAAGCCUGUGAUCUGGAGCUGGUUUGAGAGGACGAUCAGCCACAUUGGGACUGAGACACGGCCCAAACGCCUACGGGAGGCAGCAGUGGGGAAUCUUGCGCAAUGGACGAAAGUCUGACGCAGCCAUGCCGCGUGAAUGAUGAAGGUCUUAGGAUUGUAAAGUUCUUGAGCCUGUGACGAUGAUGACGGUAACAGGAGAAUAAGCCCCGGCUAACUUCGUGCCAGCAGCCGCCGUAACAC